GGUGGAACCUACCUAUAAGACUGGGAUAACUCCGGGAAACCGGGGCAAUACCGGAUAACACAUGAAACCGCAUGGUUUCAUGAUGAAAGACGGUUUUGCUGUCACUUAUAGAUGGACCCGCGGCGUAUUAGCUAGUUGGUAAGGUAACGGCUUACCAAGGCAACGAUACGUAGCCGACCUGAGAGGGUGAUCGGCCACACUGGAACUGAGACACGGUCCAGACUCCUACGGGAGGCAGCAGC
rnacentral:rRNA from 1 species